UGUUAAGAAAUUCAUCCAUUUCUGGUUAAAAACUGGCAUAGCUAACAUAAUAACCAAAUAGUUGCAUGUGACAUGUCACGCGCACCUCAUUCUAACGUACAACGACCAGUUUUUAAUAGUAGAAAUGGAUGAAAUUUUAAACA
rfam:Gossypium arboreum cultivar AKA8401 contig_4501_3, whole genome shotgun sequence.